UCGUUCAAUAGGCAUAUCGGCGUGGUAUAGAAUAAUUGGUGGCGUGGUCAAUUUUCUUACGAAUGCGCGUCGAUCCAUUCUUGACGGCCGUGUAGCCAUACCAUCUACCAGAACUGCGAUAUACCAUCUACCAGAGCUGGGAAUAGCUUUUGUAGUACUAAAAAAAAUACAGAGAUGCAUACUCCGGGUGCACUAAUGAUAGCAACCCAUUAUAUGUACGCGCAUUAAUCCUGGCAUCGAAAAGUUCAGCACCAGUCUGAAGAACGCGAACAAACUGCUUCUGAUUGAUUCCGGCGAUUCCGCCACUUCCAAGAACAUGGCCAUUGUCUGGAAUUUACUUUCUUCCGUACCGAUAUAUCUGCAGAUCAUAAAAACCGAGAAACAACUGAUCUGUAAAUAAUCUCGAAAAAAAAAAAUUAUCUGAACAAAACAAAACGUCACUUUACUUGCGGAAUAAUGUGUCAGUACAUUAUUUCGCAAGGAAAGAUGACGGUUUGUGUUUUCUUCACAGCAAUCCGCCUGCUAUUCCCAAAUUAUUCAUUUUCCUUGCCAGCUCCGUACUGUUCAAGGAAUGUCAGCAGCAAAAUCAUUCCUUGACUGCUACUUGUCCUAUCUAUUUGCACAGUACUUAAGAAGUCCAUACCACCCUUUAAAAGAAAGUGCUCAACCCUGUUUGUUUUAUUUUCUGCAGCAUGCACAUCCAGGCCUGAGAAGACAGUCGGAGGAUGCCUGACUUGCGAUGGAUCCAAUAUUUUCUGCUGAUAAACCUCGUACUAGAAUGCUGCUUCUGUUAUAUCUUUCAUCGUUUAAUCCGGAUUAUUAUCGAUAUUCCGUUGUGAUAAGGGGGUUGGAGAAAAUUUUAAGACCUGAUUCGCACUUCAACAAUUGUAAUUCUAUGGAAAACGGAACCUGAAACUUGGCCGAAAAAAAGCAUUCAAUGUUACUAUUCCGGAAAUGCUUUAUAUGAACAAUUAUCUUGGUUGACAAGGUGGUGCAAACAUGUACAGAACCAUGGUUAGAGUGCUCCUGAAAAUCUCCAAAAGCAGCGGACCAACGGCCCAACGGACCAACAGGAACAGGGGCAUAGAAGCUCACCAAAUCAUCAGCGACCACUACAGGCCACCCGCAUCACCGCGUUUACCACCAUAUACUAAUUACAGAAAUCUGUUCUGGUACAUGCUGUUAUCAGGAAUCAAAACUUUAGGGUGCAAUUAGGAUAUCUUGCUAGCAGAGAAACCUCGGGAGGAACAGCACUUUCAUCGCAUGGAAUCGACCUCAUUGGAUUGAUCGAUAGGCGUAAUCUAAGUCCCCGGGAGAGGCAGACACCGCGGCGAGACCGUAGAUUAUUUUGAAAAAGCAAUUAAUUUUUAGAUGGUAUUCAAAUAAAUUUCAACUAUUAUUUUUUCUAUAAAACUUAAAUUAACUUAUUUAUUUAUUUUAUAAGAAAAACAUUUGCAAUGUCUCAAAAAUAAAGA